CCUACGGGUGGCAGCAGUGAGGAAUAUUGGUCAAUGGGCGGAAGCCUGAACCAGCCAAGUAGCGUGCGGGAUGAAGGCCCUAAGGAUUGUAAACUGCUUUUGUACGGGAAUAACGCGCCUUACGUGUAGGGCUUUGCAUGUACCUGAUGAAUAAGCACCGGCUAAUUCCGUGCCAGCAGCCGCGGUAAUACGGAGGGUGCGGGCGUUAUCCGGAUUUAUUGGGUUUAAAGGGAGCGGAGGCGGCAUGUCAAGCGUGCUGGGAAAGGUCCGGGCUCAACCCGGGCCUUGCAGUGCAAACUGGCGUGCUUGAGUCCGCGGAAAGCAGGCGGAAUGCGUGGUGUAGCGGUGAAAUGCUUAGAUAUGACGAAGAACCCCGAUUGCGAAGGCAGCUUGCUGCAGCGGAACUGACGCUGAGGCUCGAAAGCGCGGGUAUCGAACAGGAUUAGAUACCCUAGUAGUC
rnacentral:rRNA from 1 species